UACGUAGGGUGCGAGCGUUAAUCGGAAUUACUGGGCGUAAAGCGUGCGCAGGCGGUUGUGCAAGACAGAUGUGAAAUCCCCGGGCUUAACCUGGGAACUGCAUUUGUGACUGCACGGCUGGAGUGCGGCAGAGGGGGAUGGAAUUCCGCGUGUAGCAGUGAAAUGCGUAGAUAUGCGGAGGAACGCCGAUGGCGAAGGCAAUCCCCUGGGCCUGCACUGACGCUCAUGCACGAAAGCGUGGGGAGCAAACAGG
rnacentral:rRNA from 1 species